CCGACGGUGAGAGACGAAAGCUGGGGGAGCAAACCGGAUUAGAUACCCGGGUAGUCCCAGCUGUAAACGAUGCGCGUUAGGUGUGUCAGUGACCACGUGUCACUGAUGUGCCGAAGGGAAACCGUGAAACGCGCCGCCUGGGGAGUACGGUCGCAAGGCUGAAACCUAAAGGAAUUGGCGGGGGAGCACCACAACGGGUGGAGCCUGCGGUUUAAUCGGACUCAACGCCGGAAAUCUCACCGGAUAA
rnacentral:rRNA from 1 species